rnacentral:rRNA from 1 species
UCUUGGUCAWUUAGAGGAAGUAAAAGUCGUAACAAGGUCUCCGUUGGUGAACCAGCGGAGGGAUCAUUACAGAGUUGCAAAACUCCCUAAACCAUUGUGAACGUUACCUAAACCGUUGCUUCGGCGGGCGGCCCCGGGGUUUACCCCCCGGGCGCCCCUGGGCCCCACCGCGGGCGCCCGCCGGAGGUCACCAAACUCUUGAUAAUUUAUGGCCUCUCUGAGUCUUCUGUACUGAAUAAGUCAAAACUUUCAACAACGGAUCUCUUGGUUCUGGCAUCGAUGAAGAACGCAGCGAAAUGCGAUAAGUAAUGUGAAUUGCAGAAUUCAGUGAAUCAUCGAAUCUUUGAACGCACAUUGCGCCCGCCAGUAUUCUGGCGGGCAUGCCUGUUCGAGCGUCAUUUCAACCAUCAAGCCCCCGGGCUUGUGUUGGGGACCUGCGGCUGCCGCAGGCCCUGAAAAGCAGUGGCGGGCUCGCUGUCACACCGAGCGUAGUAGCAUACAUCUCGCUCUGGKCGUGCUGCGGGUUCCGGCCGUUAAACCACCUUUUAACCCAAGGUUGACCUCGGAUCAGGUAGGAAGACCCGCUGAACUUAAGCAUAUCAAUAAGGCGGAGGAA